rnacentral:rRNA from 1 species
CAUGCAAGUCGAACGGCAGCAUGAUCUAGCUUGCUAGAUUGAUGGCGAGUGGCGAACGGGUGAGUAAUACAUCGGAACGUGCCCUGUAGUGGGGGAUAACUAGUCGAAAGAUUAGCUAAUACCGCAUACGACCUGAGGGUGAAAGUGGGGGACCGCAAGGCCUCAUGCUAUAGGAGCGGCCGAUGUCUGAUUAGCUAGUUGGUGAGGUAAAGGCUCACCAAGGCGACGAUCAGUAGCUGGUCUGAGAGGACGAUCAGCCACACUGGGACUGAGACACGGCCCAGACUCCUACGGGAGGCAGCAGUGGGGAAUUUCGGACAAUGGGGGCAACCCUGAUCCAGCAAUGCCGCGUGUGUGAAGAAGGCCUUCGGGUUGUAAAGCACUUUUGUCCGGAAAGAAAUCGCACUUACUAAUAUUAGGUGUGGAUGACGGUACCGGAAGAAUAAGGACCGGCUAACUACGUGCCAGCAGCCGCGGUAAUACGUAGGGUCCAAGCGUUAAUCGGAGUUACUGGGCGUAAAGCGUGCGCAGGCGGUUGUGCAAGACCGAUGUGAAAUCCCCGGGCUUAACCUGGGAAUUGCAUUGGUGACUGCACGGCUAGAGUGUGUCAGAGGGGGGUAGAAUUCCACGUGUAGCAGUGAAAUGCGUAGAGAUGUGGAGGAAUACCGAUGGCGAAGGCAGCCCCCUGGGAUAACACUGACGCUCAUGCACGAAAGCGUGGGGAGCAAACAGGAUUAGAUACCCUGGUAGUCCACGCCCUAAACGAUGUCAACUAGUUGUUGGGGAUUCAUUUCCUUAGUAACGUAGCUAACGCGUGAAGUUGACCGCCU